GCUGGCGGCAGGCCUAACACAUGCAAGUCGAGCGCUCACUUCGGUGGGAGCGGCGGACGGGUUAGUAACGCGUGGGAAUAUGCCCGGUACUAAGGAAUAGCCUUUGGAAACGAAGAGUAAUACCUUAUACGCCCUUCGGGGGAAAGAUUUAUCGGUAUCGGAUUAGCCCGCGUAAGAUUAGAUAGUUGGUGGGGUAAUGGCCUACCAAGUCUACGAUCUUUAGCUGGUUUUAGAGGAUGAUCAGCAACACUGGGACUGAGACACGGCCCAGACUCCUACGGGAGGCAGCAGUGGGGAAUCUUAGACAAUGGGCGCAAGCCUGAUCUAGCCAUGCCGCGUGAGUGAUGAAGGCCUUAGGGUCGUAAAACUCUUUCGCCAGAGAUGAUAAUGACAGUAUCUGGUAAAGAAACCCCGGCUAACUCCGUGCCAGCAGCCGCGGUAAUACGGAGGGGGUUAGCGUUGUUCGGAAUUACUGGGCGUAAAGCGCACGUAGGCGGACUGGAAAGUUGGGGGUGAAAUCCCGGGGCUCAACCUCGGAACUGCCUCCAAAACUAUCAGUCUAGAGUUCGAGAGAGGUGAGUGGAAUUCCAAGUGUAGAGGUGAAAUUCGUAGAUAUUUGGAGGAACACCAGUGGCGAAGGCGGCUCACUGGCUCGAUACUGACGCUGAGGUGCGAAAGUGUGGGGAGCAAACAGGAUUAGAUACCCUGGUAGUCCACACCGUAAACGAUGAAUGCCAGUCGUCGGCAAGUAUACUUGUCGGUGACACACCUAACGGAUUAAGCAUUCCGCCU
rnacentral:rRNA from 1 species